GACGAACGCUGGCGGCGUGCUUAACACAUGCAAGUCGAACGGUGACCCAGGGCUUGCCCUGGUGAUCAGUGGCGAACGGGUGAGUAACACGUGGGCAACCUGCCCCUGACUUCGGGAUAACUCCUCGAAAGAGGAGCUAAUACCGGAUACGACCACUUCGGACAUCCGAUGGUGGUGGAAAGUUUUUCGGUCAGGGAUGGGCCCGCGGCCUAUCAGCUAGUUGGUGGGGUAAUGGCCUACCAAGGCGACGACGGGUAGCCGGCCUGAGAGGGCGACCGGCCACACUGGGACUGAGACACGGCCCAGACUCCUACGGGAGGCAGCAGUGGGGAAUAUUGCGCAAUGGGCGAAAGCCUGACGCGGCGACGCCGCGUGAGGGAUGAAGGCC
rnacentral:rRNA from 1 species